rnacentral:rRNA from 1 species
CGGGACGGGUGAGUAAUGUCUGGGAAACUGCCUGAUGGAGGGGGAUAACUACUGGAAACGGUAGCUAAUACCGCAUAACGUCGCAAGACCAAGAGGGGACCUUCGGGCCUCUUGCCAUCGGAUGUGCCCAGAUGGGAUUAGCUAGUAGGUGGGGUAACGGCUCACCUAGGCGACGAUCCCUAGCUGGUCUGAGAGGAUGACCAGCCACACUGGACUGAGACACGGUCCAG